GAGAGCUACAGUGCCAUGAAAGUGGCCCGCUGGGUUCGGGAAGAGACCGUUGGAAAAGGGCUGAGUCCAGGAAACCACCUGAAACAUCAGGCAGGUCAGGACAGCAUCAGUACCUCGCUGGCGGUCUACUUCAU
rfam:Ktedonobacter racemifer DSM 44963 strain SOSP1-21 Krac_Contig206, whole genome shotgun sequence.